rnacentral:sRNA from 1 species
AAUUAAAACCCGAUUUGGAAGAGGGAAGGGCAGCCAGCACCAGUAUGCACAGCCCCCGGCCCCAGAGACCCGGGAAGGAGUAGGGAGGCCGGGCAGGGAGCGUGGAAGGUGCGCUUUCCCGGAGAAGAGGACUGUCAGAAGGACGUAGAAGGCACACUUUUACUGUGAGAAGCAAAGAUCCUUUACCUACGCAUUUUACAAGAAAUGUGCAGAAAGCCAUUGAUAAAUAUACCUGAGUAUUAGGAAGACAGCUGAUCUUGCCCACUGACGAAGGCGUCCAGCAUUUCCAGGGCAGCACUCCUGCCUCCGCAGUCCACAGACCCCCGCUCAGUGCCUGCCGACACAGCAGCAACAUCAGAGAGUUGUGCAUUUCUGGCUCUCAAAUAGUCCCAGCAGCACUCUCAGCCUCUGCCCUGCCAGGCCCUGAUGACACAGGGGUUGCUGACCUAACGGCACGUUCAUCCCUGGAAGAAGAGGUUUAUCAUGUGGAUGGAAACAUGGAGGAGUAUUUCGCUUUUGACAGAAAAGAGGAUGAUGACGAAUGUCUUGAACAAAAACCAGCUCAGCCUGGUAGGAAAUGGUGCAAACUCGGACUUCCUCCUGUUUCCCCACAUGACUGUGUCAAAGAUGCCGUGACAGCAGAAGUGUUUGAUCACGUCUGGACAAAUUUGGUAGAACUUUUGGAAGAGCUGAUUAGAAAACACUGGGAAACUACACUCACAGAAGGGAAAAAACAGAGAGAAACAUUGAAAGUAGCUGGAAACAGAUUUCCACACGUCCUCAUUCCACACGCUCAUGCUGAUGGAGCCAGUGGCCCCCCGUCCGGAAGCUCCGAGGCUCACAGCAUCUCCCUGACUUCUCAUCUGAAGCCACCCCAGUGUCACAAUGCCUGGAACCCUUGACGUCCUGCCUAUGAAGGACGAGGAUGUGCUCAAGUUCCUUGUGGUAGGAGCCCGCGCAGGCGGCACCACCCUUGGCUUCCAGAUGGAGCAGUAUAUCCACAAAAGAACCAGUGAUGGCAUCUCUGUCAUAAAUCCGAAGGGACCUGGGAAAAGCUGCUGCUGGCAGCUCGUGCGAUUGUUGCUGUGGAACCCUGCUGAGGUCCCUGUGGUGCUCCAGGAACACUGGCCGGUGGGCUGUGCUAAAGUUCACUGCUGCCAUUGGAGCCACUCCAGCUCCUGGCCGCUUCUCUCCUGGAACCUUCACUCGCCAGAUCCAGGCAGCCGUCCGGGAGCCAUGUCUGCUCGUGGUUACUGAUCCCAGGCGACCACCAGCCUCUCAGAGAGGCAUCUUGGCUAACCCACCUCCCAUUGCUCUGUGGAACACAGAUUCUCCUCUGUGCUGUGUGGAAGUCGCCAUCCCGUGCAACAA